AUUACAUUUCAUUUUGCUAUAUUCCUUUAUUUUACUAUUAUUUCCUUCCCUCUCUUCUUUAGUCUGUCAAUCCCAUUCCCCCUCCCUACACAGAGUAGCAUGCCAGGGUAUACAGACGCCGGCAAAAAUCUGUUUUUCUAAUAAAGAGUCCCUCUCUCUACAUGUAUGCAAAACUUCUUUCAGGUGUACAAGUUGAUCGCAUUACAAAAGAUGUGGCCACACAAGUGAAAAUGGCAUCGCCAGUUCAGUGUACUUGUGUUGACAAUGAAAUGGUUGGCGAACCUGCACCUAUACAAGACAGCGAUGAUGACUACAGCCCUCUUGAUGACCAGCAUUGAUGAGUACGUUAAUAUUUUCACACUACUAUUCUGGAAUGAUUAUGUGUAUUACUCGUAGUUAACAUUUAGACAUUAACAUUUAGACUAUCCUGGAAUGUCAAAAGUCGCACAAAAAUAUUUAGCUUAGUUGGCUUUUUCUCCAAGCUUUUUGCGUUGUUCUGUGGUUUCUGCAAGAACACAGGUGCCUGUGUAGAAGCAGCUGGCACUGACCAGCACCAAGGCAAUCGAGUAUUUUUCGUACAAGAGGAACACUUAACAAAGCUUCUGACAGUCUCCCACACAUGCCUGGCCCCUUGCAAGCAAGUGGACGUCGAAUGCAAUGGAACAGUUGUGCACGUUCACACAGAAUGCUUUGCUGGGCACCAUUUCAUUUGGCAGAACCAGCAUAUAUAUCGGCAACAACCCGUGUUGAACUUAGAGCUGUGUGCCACAGUGUUGUUUUCAGGCAACAAACCGACUUCCUGUCUGAGAAUGCUGGCCUCCAUCGGUGUCCAAGUGGUCAGUGAGAGAACUUUUUUCGCCCUUCAGAGAAGCUAUUUAAGUAGACUGCACAACAACUGUCGAGCUAUUUUCUUAAAAGAUAAAUACACAAUGUUCAGUGCUUAUAGGUUUGGAGAGCUCAGCAGCAACGUUUGCUCCAGGAAGCCCGUGGAAGGUCGCUUACUCUGGCAGGGGAUGGACGAGCAGAGUCCCCAGGGUACAGUGCCAAGUUCAGCACAUACACACUGCUGAACGUGGAGACAAAAAAGAUAACUCAUUUUGAACUUGUGCAAGUGUCUCGAAAAAACUCCUUGCUGCUGCGAAGCAGUCUGGUUGUGGGGAUCUCGGCCCAUGGGUCAAAUCGAUUGAAAACCACCUGUACUGGUCGGCUGCUUCAAGUGCAGGCCACAAGAAUCUCACUGUGCCGAAGUGGCUUUCCAUGCUCAAUCACAUACGGAACAUUCCUGUUCACGAAAAUAACCUCUUUGCCGCUUGCCUUCAUGGAGACGUUGAACCAAAAGAAUGGCUGGAUGGAGACUCCAAGUCCUUCAGAAUACUCAGCGACAUAGCUAAAGCCAAGCCAGUGCUCGCUGACAUGCCCCAGCUUUCAACGUCACUUCAAACAUAUGGCGUCGAAGUUUUCCACAGCCUUCUUCUACACUUCGCGCCAAAGUUCUGCCAGUAUUCUUAUAAAGGAAUGAAAGCCAGGUAAAUGUUUCACUACUGCUUUUUAUUCUGAGAGUACUAUUAAGAAGCCUAGAGCUGGCCCUUACAUUACAGUUUUUCAUUUCAGCAAGGUCUGGACUAUAUUUGAAACAAAGAUGCACUAGUGUUUUUGAUUCAUGCAGCAUAAAAUGUUUUACCUUUUUGCAUGUACCAACAAAAGUGUGCACUGUGGACUGGGCGGCAAGAUGACAGCACAUGUAAUAACUUGCGGCUGAAGCUUAUCAGAAGCCAAAAGCACACAUAUACACAAUCAAGCCAGGUGCGCAGAAUGCACCAUGCGUGAAUGGCCACACAUUCCAUCGUCAUGAUAGAAAGCAUACAGUGGAACGAAAACUAAUCAUGGCAGUCUUUCUAAAUGCAUUUCUCCUUUGCCAUGCAGUUAUACUGACCUUCUCAUUCUUUCCAAUAUGAAAAGCUUCUAAUUGCUUAUACACGAGCACAUCUCCACUGUUAACCAGAGUUCGGAUGCUAGAGAGUGAAGUCUCAUAGACACGGGCCUCACAGUGCACUUGUAAAUGCGAUAAGGCAUAAUUCUUGACACACAGCUCAUAUUGCAAUGCUCGAUCGUUGAUGCAGGCUUUUGCGCAUAAAGCAUAAUUCUGUUUGUGUGUGCACACUGUUGGUACUUGAUCGAUCAACCUUAAUUUCAAGUUAGAAUGUGUUCUGUCUGUACUUUAACCCCUUUAUUUUGAUUGUAUGUCUGCUUUGAUCAUCUGCUAAAAAUAACUGUGAGGCACUGCUCUUCGGGACUCGGCUUGCUGCGCUUCAUUACAAUGAAAAUAGUGAACGGCAGCAAGCUUGCACGAAGGAAGGUGCUUUUCGAUGGAACAUGAGAUACCCGAAGGCUAGGCGAGGUGAACCUGUUGUGUGCCGCGUGAAGGAAGAGGCCACGCGUGGUAGAUUAACCAAAUUUAUGCGCAAGAAAGUCAUAUAAUCUUUCAACAU